AAUAUUUUAGUGGUGUCUUUUAAACGUUGCUUUUAUUUAGGGUCGACAUAUUUUGAAGGAAGAUUUGACAGCCUGUCCACAGUGUCAGUUUCCUGCCUUAUACUCAGAAUUUGUUAAACUACUAGAUACAGAAGAAUGUUGUCCCAUGUGUAAAGAUAAAGUCAAGACUGAGAACCUGACAAAGAUUGAAGACAUCAGACCUUUCCUGCAGACAGAAGGAGAAGAUUAACUUGUGUGUGUGUGGUUAAAAUGUUUUUCCUAUCAGAGUUGUGUUUUUCUCAUCAUUUUUGAACACAUUGCAGAGAAAAUAUGCUGUGUAAUAUAAUGAUUGUCAUACUCAUUUUAACCCCAUUAUUUUUUGUGACGAAGCAGUGUUAAGUUGUAAGAUGUUGUUAAAAUGUAUCAUUUUUCCAUUUUAUUUUUGGAUUCAUUUAAAAACAUUUUUCAUGUUCUAUAAGUUUCACAUUUACAUUGAUUUUAUCAUUAUUUCAUGAAUAAAAGAUUUUCUUCCUUUUCAGCACAAUAAACUAUCCAACUUUUACCUAACUAUAGACAAUGUAAACGUCAGUAUAAUAUUGUACUGUGGUGGUGAGUAGUAUACGUGUGAACUGUUAACCAUCAGACUGAACACCUUUAAGUUAAACACAGAUUAUCGGCUGAGGAUUUUCUUAAUUGUUUUGAUUCUUGCUCUAGUAGGUUUUCAAACAGUCCAUCUAACAUAUCUGUACGUAGAUUUAUUUACUGUAAAGACUUGCUUUAAAACUGUAAUGUUUUUAUAUCAGCUCUUUAAUUAUCUAACGUUUAUUAAUGUGAGGACUUCUCAUACAAAUAUUAUUGUCUUAAAAUCUUGAAUUUACUCAUUGUUCAAACUUUCAAGACUCUAUUUCUUAAACAUUACAGAUAAACUGAAGUUAAAACUUAUAUUAUGCAUCUAAACUAGUUAAUUACUGAUAUAUUAUGCAGGAAAUUUUGUUUUCUUGUAUAUAUAUUGUGUGGUAGCUGUUAUUAUGUAUAAUGCAGAACAGUGUUUUGGUACAGUGGUUCCAUCCUUUCUCUAACUAAGAAACGGGUCCCCAAAUUUCACAAACUGACUCGUACAGUACUAACUUUGUAAAGUCACAAAGUAAAACAACAUAUUUCAAUAUCUAACUGUAUUUUACAACACGUUUUGUCAUCUGUCUUGCUGAUCAGCUGAAAUUUCCCUGUCGACCAUGGUUGGGAGCCACUGUUCAGUAUAUGCUCUUGUCUUUUGUUAUGGUGACGGAAAUUAAAAUGGCUUCCUUAAAUUUAGCUUGAUAUUGAGAACAUAAUAAAACAAACUGUUACAAUGGCAUUUUAAAAUCUCAAAAUACAAAAAAAAUUAAAUUUACUGGAAAGAGAAAAAUAAUUAUGUGGUCAUUGUUUUGACCAAAUGACAUGUAUUAAAAGUUGUAAUCUACCUUUUAAAUACAUAGCAAAAGUUAACACUAGCUUUUUGAAUCUUCUAAUACUCUUUUUAUUGGCCUCCUUUACAUAGGUCAUUUGGGCAGUGUUGACCACAUAAUUAUUACAACUUUUUCCUACUUAUUGUGUGUCAGAAACGUAAUUUAUUCGGACAUGGUUGUAUACUAUUACCAAAACAUGUGCUUCAAAAAUGAGGGAUUUAAUUAGCUGAAUAGAAAAAGACUGAAAUCUGAUUGAUAACUAGCUUAAAAGACUGAAAUCUGAUUGAUAACUAGCUUAAAAGACUGAAAUCUGAUUGAUAACUAGCUUAAAAGACUGAAAUUUGAUUGAUAGCUAGCUUAAAAGACUGAAAUCUGAUUGAUAACUAGCUUAAAAGACUGAAAUCUGAUUGAUAACUAGCUUAAAAGACUGAAAUCUGAUUGAUAAUUAGCUUAAAAGACUGAAAUCUGAGUAAUAAUCUAGCUUAGGGGACUGAAAUCUGAGUAAUAAUCUAGCUUAGGGGACUAAAAUCUGAGUAAUAAUCUAAUUUAAAAGACUGAAAUCUGAGUAAAAAUCUAGCUUAGGGGACUAAAAUCUGAGUAAUAAUCUAGCUUAGGGGACUAAAAUCAGAGUAAUAAUGUAGCUUAGGGGACUAAAAUCUGAGUAAUAAUCUAAUUUAAAAGACUGAAAUCUGAGUAAUAAGCUAGCUUAGGGGACUAAAAUCUGAGUAAUAAUC
rnacentral:lncRNA from 1 species